rnacentral:tRNA from 3 species
GCCCCUAUAGCUCAGCGUGUAGAGCAGACGACUCAUAAUCGUUAGGUCACUGGUUCAAAUCCGGUUAGGGGCACCA